rnacentral:tRNA from 1 species
GGUUGUGGCUCAGUGGUAGACCACUUGCCUAGCAUGUGUGAAGCACUGGGUUCAAUUCUCAGCACCA